CUGAAAAAGAAUAUUCUGCAAAUCAAGAAAAUUUACUACAACUAAGUUUGAUAGAUUCGCCACAUAGUUGCUCCAAUUCACUUUCAAAAAUCGUCAACAAAUUCGCUUUUGUGCGCCUAUAAACCCAAGCUUUGGUGUUCUGAUCCCAACUAAACCUGGAUGGACCACAGUUAGAAUCUAACUUCCUCUGGAGAAGGGUGUUCUUGGAAAGGGAGGAAGAGGUUACUGGCGAUGCCAUCAAAAGAAAAAUGUUGCCCCAUAUUACGCAGGAUCAUAUUCCAACGUGAAGCAAAAAAUUUGUUAUGCAUAAGUGAAAUGUCCAGUCAUGUGCACAUAGGCCAAGUAUAUGCAAGAGUACUAUUUCAUAUAGGAAUAAAUACGCAGGGUAUCCAAUCUUGUGCCCUUGCGUAAUAACACCCUCACUGGAGAAGAUAACCAAUAGGUGCC
rnacentral:misc_RNA from 1 species